UACGAAGGGGGCUAGCGUUGCUCGGAAUCACUGGGCGUAAAGCGCACGUAGGCGGACUCUUAAGUCAGGGGUGAAAUCCUGGAGCUCAACUCCAGAACUGCCCUUGAUACUGGGAGCCUUGAGUUCGGGAGAGAUGAGUGGAACUGCGAGUGUAGAGGUGAAAUUCGUAGAUAUUCGCAAGAACACCAGUGGCGAAGGCGGCUCACUGGCCCGAUACUGACGCUGAGGUGCGAAAGCGUGGGGAGCAAACAGG
rnacentral:rRNA from 1 species